GCUUAACACAUGCAAGUCGAGGGGCAGCGGGGGUAGCGAUACCCGCCGGCGACCGGCGCACGGGUGAGUAACGCGUAUGCAACUUGCCUAUCAGAGGGGGAUAACCCGGCGAAAGUCGGACUAAUACCGCAUGAAGCAGGGGCCCCGCAUGGGGAUAUUUGCUAAAGAUUCAUCGCUGAUAGAUAGGCAUGCGUUCCAUUAGGCAGUUGGCGGGGUAACGGCCCACCAAACCGACGAUGGAUAGGGGUUCUGAGAGGAAGGUCCCCCACAUUGGUACUGAGACACGGACCAAACUCCUACGGGAGGCAGCAGUGAGGAAUAUUGGUCAAUGGCCGAGAGGCUGAACCAGCCAAGUCGCGUGAGGGAUGAAGGUUCUAUGGAUCGUAAACCUCUUUUAUAAGGGAAUAAAGUGCGGGACGUGUCCCGUUUUGUAUGUACCUUAUGAAUAAGGAUCGGCUAACUCCGUGCCAGCAGCCGCGGUAAUACGGAGGAUCCGAGCGUUAUCCGGAUUUAUUGGGUUUAAAGGGUGCGUAGGCGGCCUUUUAAGUCAGCGGUGAAAGUCUGUGGCUCAACCAUAGAAUUGCCGUUGAAACUGGGGGGCUUGAGUAUGUUUGAGGCAGGCGGAAUGCGUGGUGUAGCGGUGAAAUGCAUAGAUAUCACGCAGAACCCCGAUUGCGAAGGCAGCCUGCCAAGCCAUUACUGACGCUGAUGCACGAAAGCGUGGGGAUCAAACAGGAUUAGAUACCCUGGUAGUCCACGCAGUAAACGAUGAUCACUAGCUGUUUGCGAUACACUGUAAGCGGCACAGCGAAAGCGUUAAGUGAUCCACCUGGGGAGUACGCCGGCAACGGUGAAACUCAAAGGAAUUGACGGGGGCCCGCACAAGCGGAGGAACAUGUGGUUUAAUUCGAUGAUACGCGAGGAACCUUACCCGGGUUUGAACGCAUUCGGACCGAGGUGGAAACACCUUUUCUAGCAAUAGCCGUUUGCGAGGUGCUGCAUGGUUGUCGUCAGCUCGUGCCGUGAGGUGUCGGCUUAAGUGCCAUAACGAGCGCAACCCUUGCCACUAGUUACUAACAGGUAAAGCUGAGGACUCUGGUGGGACUGCCAGCGUAAGCUGCGAGGAAGGCGGGGAUGACGUCAAAUCAGCACGGCCCUUACAUCCGGGGCGACACACGUGUUACAAUGGCGUGGACAAAGGGAGGCCACCUGGCGACAGGGAGCGAAUCCCCAAACCACGUCUCAGUUCGGAUCGGAGUCUGCAACCCGACUCCGUGAAGCUGGAUUCGCUAGUAAUCGCGCAUCAGCCAUGGCGCGGUGAAUACGUUCCCGGGCCUUGUACACACCGCCCGUCAAGCCAUGGGAGCCGGGGGUACCUGAAGUCCGUAACCGAAAGGAUCGGCCUAGGGUAAAACUGGUGACUGGGGCUAAG
rnacentral:rRNA from 1 species